rnacentral:rRNA from 1 species
UGAGUAACGCGUGGGUAAUCUGCCUCCGAAUCGGGGAUAACAUUGCGAAAGCGAUGCUAAUACCGGAUAAAAUCUGGUUGGCUUAGGUGAACCGGAUCAAAGGUGGUCUCUUUAUAAAAGCUACCGUCUGGAGAUGAGCUCGCGUACCAUUAGCUAGUUGGUGAGGUAAAGGCUCACCAAGGCGACGAUGGUUAGCUGGUCUGAGAGGAUGAUCAGCCACACCGGAACUGGAACACGGUCCGGACUCCUACGGGAGGCAGCAGUGAGGAAUUUUGCGCAAUGGGGGAAACCCUGACGCAGCAACGCCGCGUGAGUGAUGGAGGCUUUCGGGUCGUAAAGCUCUGUCAGGUGGGAAGAACCCACCAAGUGUUAAGACCACUUGGUGCUGACGGUACCACCGAAGGAAGCACCGGCUAACUCCGUGCCAGCAGCCGCGGUAAUACGGGGGGUGCGAGCGUUAUUCGGAAUCAUUGGGCGUAAAGGGCGCGCAGGCGGUUUUGUAAGUCAGAUGUGAAAUCCCGGGGCUUAACCCCGGAAGUGCAUAUGAAACUAUGAGACUUGAGUAUGGGAGAGGGAAGCGGAAUUCCUGGUGUAGCGGUGAAAUGCGUAGAUAUCAGGAGGAACACCGGUGGCGAAGGCGGCUUCCUGGACCAAUACUGACGCUGAGGCGCGAAGGCGUGGGGAGCGAACAGGAUUAGAUACCCUGGUAGUCCACGCAGUAAACGUUGAUCACUAGGUGUAGCGGGUAUUGACCCCUGCUGUGCCGGAGUUAACGCAUUAAGUGAUCCGCCUGGGGAGUACGAUCGCAAGAUUAAAACUCAAAGGAAUUGACGGUGGCCCGCACAAGCGGUGGAGUAUGUGGUUUAAUUCGAUGCAACGCGAAGAACCUUACCUGGACUUGACAUCCUGUGAAUCCCGUAGAGAUACGGGAGUGCCCUUCGGGGAACGCAGUGACAGGUGCUGCAUGGCUGUCGUCAGCUCGUGCCGUGAGGUGUUGGGUUAAGUCCCGCAACGAGCGCAACCCCUAUCCUUAGUUGCCAGCACAUGAUGGUGGGCACUCUGGGGAGACUGCCCGGGUUAACCGGGAGGAAGGUGGGGACGACGUCAAGUCAUCAUGGCCCUUACGUCCAGGGCUACACACGUACUACAAUGGUGAACACAAAGGGUUGCAAGACCGCGAGGUGGAGCUAAUCCCAGAAAAUUCAUCAUAGUCCGGAUUGCAGUCUGCAACUCGACUGCAUGAAGCUGGAAUCGCUAGUAAUCCCGGAUCAGCAUGCCGGGGUGAUACGUUCCCGGGCAUUGUACACACCGCCCGUCACACCACGAAAGUCGGUUCUACCCGAAGCCGUCGG